UACGUAGGGAGCAAGCGUUGUCCGGAAUAAUUGGGCGUAAAGCGCGCGUAGGUGGCUUCGUAAGUCCGUUGUGAAAGUCAAAGGCUCAACCUUUGAAAGCCGAUGGAUACUGCGGAGCUAGAGUACGGAAGAGGCGAGUGGAAUUCCUGGUGUAGCGGUGGAAUGCGCAGAUAUCAGGAGGAACACCAAUAGCGAAGGCAGCUCGCUGGGACGUUACUGACACUGAGGCGCGAAAGCGUGGGGAGCGAACAGG
rnacentral:rRNA from 1 species